CGGGUUGUAAAGCACUUUCAGCGAGGAGGAAGGGGUUGUAGUUAAUAGCUGCAACCUUUGACGUUACUCGCAGAAGAAGCACCGGCUAACUCUGUGCCAGCAGCCGCGGUAAUACAGAGGGUGCAAGCGUUAAUCGGAAUUACUGGGCGUAAAGCGCACGCAGGCGGUUGGUUAAGUCAGAUGUGAAAGCCCCGGGCUCAACCUGGGAAUUGCAUUUGAAACUGGCCAACUAGAGUACGUGAGAGGGGGGUAGAAUUCCAAGUGUAGCGGUGAAAUGCGUAGAGAUUUGGAGGAAUACCAGUGGCGAAGGCGGCCCCCUGGCACGAUACUGACGCUCAGGUGCGAAAGCGUGGGGAGCAAACAGGAUUAGAUACCCUGGUAGUCCACGCCGUAAACGAUGUCUACUAGCUGUUCGUGGUCUUGUACUGUGAGUAGCGCAGCUAACGCACUAAGUAGACCGCCUGGGGAGUACGGUCGCAAGAUUAAAACUCAAAUGAAUUGACGGGGGCCCGCACAAGCGGU
rnacentral:rRNA from 1 species